rnacentral:rRNA from 1 species
AAGUCGUAACAAGGUCUCCGUUGGUGAACCAGCGGAGGGAUCAUUACUGAGUACUACACUCUCUACCCUUUGUGAACUAUUAUACCUGUUGCUUCGGCGGCGCCCGCAAGGGUGCCCGCCGGUCUCAUCAGAAUCUCUGUUUUCGAACCCGACGAUACUUCUGAGUGUUCUUAGCGAACUGUCAAACUUUUAACAACGGAUCUCUUGGCUCCAGCAUCGAUGAAGAACGCAGCGAAACGCGAUAUGUAAUGUGAAUUGCAGAAUUCAGUGAAUCAUCGAAUCUUUGAACGCACAUGGCGCCUUCCAGUAUCCUGGGAGGCAUGCCUGUCCGAGCGUCGUUUCAACCCUCGAGCCCCUGUGGCCCGGCGUUGGGGAUCUGCCACGGCAGGCCCCUAAAACCAGUGGCGGACCCGAAGGGCCCUCUCCUUUGCGCAGUAGCAUUCGCCUCGCAUCGGGAGUCCUCGGCGUCCUGCCUCUAAACCCCCACAAGCCCGCUUCGGCGGCACCAAGGUUGACCUCGGAUCAGGUAGGAAUACCCGCUGAACUUAA